rnacentral:rRNA from 1 species
GAUGAACGCUGGCGGCGUGCCUAAUACAUGCAAGUCGAGCGAACGGACGAGAAGCUUGCUUCUCUGAUGUUAGCGGCGGACGGGUGAGUAACACGUGGAUAACCUACCUAUAAGACUGGGAUAACUUCGGGAAACCGGAGCUAAUACCGGAUAAUAUUUUGAACCGCAUGGUUCAAAAGUGAAAGACGGUCUUGCUGUCACUUAUAGAUGGAUCCGCGCUGCAUUAGCUAGUUGGUAAGGUAACGGCUUACCAAGGCAACGAUGCAUAGCCGACCUGAGAGGGUGAUCGGCCACACUGGAACUGAGACACGGUCCAGACUCCUACGGGAGGCAGCAGUAGGGAAUCUUCCGCAAUGGGCGAAAGCCUGACGGAGCAACGCCGCGUGAGUGAUGAAGGUCUUCGGAUCGUAAAACUCUGUUAUUAGGGAAGAACAUAUGUGUAAGUAACUGUGCACAUCUUGACGGUACCUAAUCAGAAAGCCACGGCUAACUACGUGCCAGCAGCCGCGGUAAUACGUAGGUGGCAAGCGUUAUCCGGAAUUAUUGGGCGUAAAGCGCGCGUAGGCGGUUUUUUAAGUCUGAUGUGAAAGCCCACGGCUCAACCGUGGAGGGUCAUUGGAAACUGGAAAACUUGAGUGCAGAAGAGGAAAGUGGAAUUCCAUGUGUAGCGGUGAAAUGCGCAGAGAUAUGGAGGAACACCAGUGGCGAAGGCGACUUUCUGGUCUGUAACUGACGCUGAUGUGCGAAAGCGUGGGGAUCAAACAGGAUUAGAUACCCUGGUAGUCCACGCCGUAAACGAUGAGUGCUAAGUGUUAGGGGGUUUCCGCCCCUUAGUGCUGCAGCUAACGCAUUAAGCACUCCGCCUGGGGAGUACGACCGCAAGGUUGAAACUCAAAGGAAUUGACGGGGACCCGCACAAGCGGUGGAGCAUGUGGUUUAAUUCGAAGCAACGCGAAGAACCUUACCAAAUCUUGACAUCCUUUGACAACUCUAGAGGUAGAGCUUUCCCCUUCGGGGGACAAAGUGACAGGUGGUGCAUGGUUGUCGUCAGCUCGUGUCGUGAGAUGUUGGGUUAAGUCCCGCAACGAGCGCAACCCUUAAGCUUAGUUGUCAUCAUUAAGUUGGGCACUCUAAGUUGACUGCCGGUGACAAACCGGAGGAAGGUGGGGAUGACGUCAAAUCAUCAUGCCCCUUAUGAUUUGGGCUACACACGUGCUACAAUGGACAAUACAAAGGGCAGCGAAACCGCGAGGUCAAGCAAAUCCCAUAAAGUUGUUCUCAGUUCGGAUUGUAGUCUGCAACUCGACUACAUGAAGCUGGAAUCGCUAGUAAUCGUAGAUCAGCAUGCUACGGUGAAUACGUUCCCGGGUCU